GAUGGCCCUUCCUACCCUGUGUGCAUGUAUAGAGGCCAAACAGAAACCGGUCCUAUCAGUAUAGUUGCUCGCAGUGUAUUCAGCAUAUCUUGCACCAGUGUAAGCAAACCAGACUCUGAUCUGUACAUUUGGACGUACUCCGGAGGCUCGUACACAGGCCAGCAACUGACGAUUGCCAACAUUAAUAUAUCUUUGAAGGGAAAAUUUACAUUUCAGGCAAGAAACACGAUGAACUAUAGUGGCAGCACAUGUAACCACUGUGGAAGUGAACGUUUUGUAUCCACCACUGCCACCCUUGCUGAGUAUUGGCAAUACCACUGUAGUUGGUGCAAUAAAGGUUAUCCAAAGUAGCAGUUUUACGAUAAGCUGCUCCAGUCAGAGUAAUUCUCCACCCUCAUCGUACACAUGGAAACCUGGUGAAACUGGCAACAGCACUGAGCUUGUGUUGAGAAACGUUCAUCCGGCAAGUAACGGACAAUACACUUGUCUGACGGAAAACGUCAUGCAGCCAACACGAGAUGUGGCCGUUAUAGGUCAGGCGACUUCGAAUGUGACUGUAGAAGUACUAUCUGAACCAGAACAACCAACAUUUUUCUAUGUCAUAAACGAAACGAUAACAGAAACAACAGCGGUUGCGACAUGGCGCCCACAAUUCAAUGGUGGUGUACCACAAUCCUUUCAACUGCAAUACCGUCCAACAUCAAAAGACUCAUGGACUGUUCUUAUGUUGAACGAGUCCAUAUCAAAAGGUUUGGAACAAAUGCAUGCGAUGCUAACAGGACUACUUAGUGGAACGGAAUACCAAGUGGAAUUAUUUACAUCGAACGCAAACGGGCAUUCAAGGCCACUCCGGGAUAUAUUCAAAACAAAGGAACACGAUGGUUCAUCGGCAAAGACAGACGCAGGACCACCGAUAGGAGGAAUAAUUGGUGGAAUCUCAUCGGGGCUUUUACUCAUAGCGAUUGUUUCGAUUGUGUUUUGUUUGAGAAGAAAAUAUGAUGUCAGAUGUUCACUCGCACGCAAAAAAGACGGUUAUUCGGGAUUAUUUUAUUUAUUAAAUAAUGAUGUGAUUAGUUUAAGUUUCAGGUUCAUACUAUUUAUUCGAUCCGCAUGCAUAUGAUAA